GACAAGAAAUAACAACUCGGGGCCUCACGGCUUACGAGAUUGCAAUAGAGAACAAAUUUUAAAUCUCUUAGCGAGGAACAAUUUGGGAGGGACAAGUCUGGUGCCAGCAGCCGCGGUAAUUCCAGCUCCAAUAGCGUAUAUUAAGUUGUUGCAAGUUAAAAAGCUCGUAGUUGAAUUUCUGAUUAUGGAUGUAGCGGUUUCCGUUACAUUUGUAGUCAUCCACAUGAGAACCUUUCUCGGCCUUCACUGGUCGGUUGGGGGAUCAUGUACUUUACUUUGAAAAAAUCAGAGUGUUUCAGGCAGGCGUUUGCAUGAAUACACAAGCAUGGAAUAAUGGAAUAGGACUAGGGUCCAUUUUAUUGGUUAUUGGACCAUAGUAAUGAUUAAUAGGGACAGUUGGGG
rnacentral:rRNA from 1 species